rnacentral:lncRNA from 1 species
GGCUGCAUGAGCGUGCUUACAGACGAAGAAAAACGAAUUGCAAUGUUAAGGAUAACUACAUUUCUAUCUUUUCUGUUCGUUUCAAAUGGUAUUUUUUUCUCCAAGGAGAAUGUGGCAAAGGGAGGGGGUAAUUUUUUUUUUUUUAUUAUUUCUAAUUGUAUUUUAACGGAUCUGACAUACUACACAAACAAACAAUUAACCUCACCUCACUCUUUUUCAGUUAUGCAUUUAUGAGUGAAUCGUUGUUUGAGUAAAUACCAGUGGCAAAUAUUUCUGUCAGUGUGUAAGUCCAGUCGAUUCAGAUAGACCUUUUCAAAUGAAUUAUGUGUUCGGCAAUGAUGAUGGAUGAGUCUUGAUAAUUUAAGAGGUUAAUAAGGCUACGUAAAGUGUUUUUAUAAAAAA